GCUCGGACGGUUUAUCGCGAAAUUUUAGUAUCCAAUGUGACGAGCAAAUGCGAACGAUUAGAUGCCAUUUAAAUGUGUAACGGUCGAACCAAUCUCGGCGUGUAGCUUCGUGAAUCUCGAGAUCGCAAUAGCACAAAAAGGCCCCGGAGGGAUUCGAACCCUCGAUCUCCUGUUUACUAGACAGGCGCUUUAACCAACUAAGCCACGGCGCCGUUGAAGGACACAAAAGUAACGUAGUAAAGUGGUUACGAUCGUUCGAUUUUCUCUCCUGGUGUUUCAAGAGAAUCUUAAGGUUCUCACACAUCGGAUUUCUUAUACGCGAAUUAGUUCCCAUCUCCCAUGUCGUGUUCCCAAUUCUCGAGUCUUGACGAAGGUACAUUGCCGAGGAAAGAUGUCGGACAGUGAUUCACCGGGACGCUCGGGCGCACAGGGGCGAGUCGUUCGUUUUCGCGGGGGACAAUCGAAGUUCCGGCGAAGUUAAUCAAUCGAUCCGGAAGACCCGUGAGAAUCGGGCAGGGAGUGGGCAGCCGGCGGCUGCCCGUAUUUGAUUGUUUAAUUAGCAAGAUGACCCGGUCGUACCCCAGCGGGGAUUCUCGAAGGAGCUCGAGUUAGACGGGAAGCAGCAUCGAGGAGGAAAAGGUGGAGUGACACAGGGAGACAGAGAAUGCAAGGGAGAAAGAGAAAGAGGGAAAGAGACAUAGAGAGAACGCGCACGAAACGAGCACGUUGAGGAACGGCAGAGGGUGCGAGAAACCGAAGACAUCGGAAGGAGAUAUAACCAGAGCGAGUCAGCCGAAGACUGUCGCUGAGAACGGGGAGGCGAGAGGAGGAUGUGUGCUCCCGAGGAGAGAUACAGUGGAACUCUGGCGAGAGGUAGGAUGGAGUAGGGAGGAGGAGGACGACGGGGCUGGAUUUCUGGUGUAUAGGGGUAUUAAUCCCUACCCUCAAUUACCCUUUGUCUUGGGCGCAGCUUGGUCCACUUGUUAAGACACCGCCACUGUUUGUCUUGAGGAGCAGAUUUCGACGCGUCGGUGACUCCGGAAGUCCAGAGUGGUUCAAUCGUUUCGCCGUGAUGUCAGAUCCAUAAUAGGGGCGACGCACAAAGGGAUGCUGAAACGCCAAUCGUAACGAUUUACGAAACGAUAACGUUUCAAGGAAGAUUUACGUCGCGGUGAGGGGACGACGUUUACUCAGCGCAACCGAUGGAACAAGCUUGCAGCCUCAUGCAUCGCGGUACUUGCGUUGCGUUGAUUAAAAAAAAAGGGAUACCGGCCGCCCGUCUUCAGCGACUAAUACUACUUAAUCGCUGCUCCCUUCCGGUGUCAUCGGCCGCGUUCGAGCGGGGGAUCACCAACAUCGUUCUGCCCGAGGCGUGUUCGAUGAGCGAGUUCAAUCAAGAAUAUCGAAUAGGAUAUCGAACCACAAAAAGACUAUGGAAAGAAAUCCGCAAAACCCAGGUACCGCGAACCGGAGCCGCUCUCUCAUCGAUCGUGAAUUUCGAUCACGAUCACAGGGGUCGAGCUCGGACUGCAUUGCGAAAGCCGCUACGCAAGUUGCCACGCCACGCCAUCAAAAACCGAUCGGUCGGUGACGCGGUGCCUUAAGACGCAUCAUAAUUAUCAUGGAUCCUCCCCGCUUGCGCUCCCCGUCCUGGCGAUCUUCUCCGCGCGGGUGGAAUACGAAGCAGCCGGCUUUCCCUGUAUCAGGUACGAACGUUUCUAUUUAUGGCCGCCGGCUCCCGGGCCCCCGACGAGUUAUGAUAUUGUUUCGGCCGGUUCUCGGAAUCUACGCGAUCGGUGACUCGGAUAAACCGCGAAUGAGAAAGAGAGGAAAAGAAGAAACGAAGUCGCGCCGAUGAGGUGAGAGAGCGACCGCCUGGUACCUCGUCUCGGUGCGCACUGCGAGCGAACGAGAGAAAAGAGAGGAGAGGUACCAAGGCGGGGAGCAGGGGGGCGAGAACCAGGGAGAGGCGUAUAAUUUUAUUUCUUCAUCACCGUCGUGCAACGCGCCUAUCUUUUAUGAUCGCCUCUGACCGCUUCAUUAGUUUCGCCAACUUUCCGAAGGUCCCGAAACGCGGCCUGCUGUCCUUCGCUUGCGUCAUUCACGCUGUUAAUCAUUGAUAAAUGCACGAUCAUCAGACGUUGAUUCACAAAAAUGCUGCAUGAUAAGAAAGGAUGCUGCUGAAUUCGAUUUAAGAAAUCGAAUCGCUCUCACGUAACUCAACCAACUACCGUUACGACGAUCAAUUGGCUGCGACUAUGCACUAGGACCACAUUGUCAGUCAAAUCGGUGAAACUUCGCAGCCGUGCAGCGAGUUGCAUGCUGGAGCAUGGUCGUUGAUACGCUAAACAGGCUUUCCCUGUCGAGGAACUCGCGUUACCGUACCGCAGACCUCCGAUCUGGAACUCUUUUCGUCUGACGCGCAGUCACAUAAGAGAGCAGAACAGAGAGAGAGAGAGAGAGAGAGAGAGAGAGAGAGAGAGAGAGAGGGUGGAGAGAGAGGAAGGGGAAAGUUGACCCUCUCGAGAGUUGGCCGAGGUUAGUUAUGGAGCCGACGGUCCCUGCGCGCGGUUACAAAAGUAUUUGAAUGGCUGUCGGCCCUUGUAAGCCGUCAAAAAGUCAAAGGGAAACCACUAAAAUCAGUUAGGGAUCUCAACUAUGCGCGGGAGCGAGUGCGAGUGAGCGCGAUGAUGGUCCACGCGCGCGCGCGAGUAAGACAAGAACGGCUUCUCCGCGAGGAGAGAGAGAUGCACUCGGUGCACGAGAAGCGGAAAAAGGAUGAGGAGAGAGAAGAGGACACGAGCCCGUGUGGGAAGAUGGGGAGUUUAUGGAAAUUUCUCUUCGGAGACCGUUAUGCACGUCUCGCCUAUUUCCGUGACCGAACGCUUAUUGGUCACAUUUUGUCCUUGAGACAAUAGUCCCUCGUUCUUUACGGGCGCGCCGAUAUCUCAGUUAAAGAAUUAUAGCCGGGAAGUCGGCCUGGAACACUUUGGAACGUGGAGAACGUGGCGCGACACCGGUCUCUCGACGUACAAAGAACGGAUUUAUGGCGGAGCAAGCUGCGAGCGAAAAAUCGUUUGUAAAUACACGCUAAUGCGCCAAUUAAUUCCCGUCCCGUGACGAUAGAGGAGGAAGCUGAUCAAAUUUUCGUCGUUUGUAUACUGACACAAAGGCGCAAUGCACGCAUGUACGUGCAUGCGGGAGAUUAAAACCUGACGCGUGGCCGAGUAACGCGCGCAACGACCGGUAACGUUUGAAAAGAGCCGCGAACGAGGGUGAGCGUGUUCGGCGUUUCGCCAA